GAUGAACGCUGGCGGCGUGCCUAAUACAUGCAAGUCGAGCGAACAGACGAGGAGCUUGCUCCUCUGACGUUAGCGGCGGACGGGUGAGUAACACGUGGAUAACCUACCUAUAAGACUGGGAUAACUUCGGGAAACCGGAGCUAAUACCGGAUAAUAUAUUGAACCGCAUGGUUCAAUAGUGAAAGACGGUUUUGCUGUCACUUAUAGAUGGAUCCGCGCCGCAUUAGCUAGUUGGUAAGGUAACGGCUUACCAAGGCAACGAUGCGUAGCCGACCUGAGAGGGUGAUCGGCCACACUGGAACUGAGACACGGUCCAGACUCCUACGGGAGGCAGCAGUAGGGAAUCUUCCGCAAUGGGCGAAAGCUUGACGGAGCAACGCCGCGUCAGUGAUGAAGGUCUUCGGAUCGUAAAACUCUGUUAUUAGGGAAGAACAAAUGUGUAAGUAACUAUGCACGUCUUGACGGUACCUAAUCAGAAAGCCACGGCUAACUACGUG
rnacentral:rRNA from 1 species